rnacentral:rRNA from 1 species
GACGAACGCUGGCGGCGUGCUUAACACAUGCAAGUCGAACGUGAUUUUUGUGGAAAGCCCUUCGGGGACGGAAAUGAAAUGAAAGUGGCGAACGGGUGAGUAACACGUGAGCAACCUACCUUACACAGGGGGAUAGCCGUUGGAAACGACGAUUAAUACCGCAUGAGACCACAAAGCCACAUGGCUUAGGGGUAAAAGAUUUAUCGGUGUAAGAUGGGCUCGCGUCUGAUUAGCUAGUUGGAAGGGUAAAGGCCUACCAAGGCAACGAUCAGUAGCCGGUCUGAGAGGAUGAACGGCCACAUUGGAACUGAGACACGGUCCAAACUCCUACGGGAGGCAGCAGUGGGGAAUAUUGCACAAUGGGGGGAACCCUGAUGCAGCGACGCCGCGUGAGCGAAGAAGGUUUUCGAAUCGUAAAGCUCUGUCCUAUGAGAAGAUAAUGACGGUAUCAUAGGAGGAAGCCCCGGCUAAAUACGUGCCAGCAGCCGCGGUAAUACGUAUGGGGCGAGCGUUGUCCGGAAUUAUUGGGCGUAAAGGGUACGUAGGCGGCCUUUUAAGUCAGGUGUGAAAGCGUGAGGCUUAACCUCAUUAAGCACUUGAAACUGGAAGGCUUGAGUGAAGGAGAGGAAAGUAGAAUUCCUAGUGUAGCGGUGAAAUGCGUAGAUAUUAGGAGGAAUACCGGUGGCGAAGGCGACUUUCUGGACUUUUACUGACGCUCAGGUACGAAAGCGUGGGGAGCAAACAGG